rnacentral:rRNA from 1 species
CACGAAACACAGGAACAAAAUGAAUCUGGAGAGUUUGAUCCUGGCUCAGAACGAACGCUGGCGGCGUGCCUAACACAUGCAAGUCCAACGUGAAAGGGGAGCAAUCCCCCGGUAGGGUGGCAAACGGGUGAGUAAUACAUGGGUGAUCUACCUUAGGGAUGGGGAUAUCCUUCCGAAAGGAGGGGCAAUACCGAAUAUUGUCCGGAGCCAUGAAGGGUUCCGGGGAAAGGGAGGCCUCUGAUACAAGCUUUCGCCUUAAGAUGAGCCCAUGGCCCAUCAGCUAGUUGGUAGGGUAAAGGCCUACCAAGGCUACGACGGGUCGCUGGUCUGAGAGGACGACCAGCCACACUGGCACUGAGAUACGGGCCAGACUCCUACGGGAGGCAGCAGUGAGGAAUAUUGCGCAAUGGGGGAAA